rnacentral:misc_RNA from 1 species
UGAGAUCAAACAUUUACAAAGCUGUCUUCGCUGAGGAGAGACAUUUAUGAGCCCCAGCGAACCUCCAUCACUGAAGGUUACCUGGCAGGAAACCACAAACGUAGAUAUUUAUCACACUUGUGAUGCCACCAAACACUGGAAAGCUGAUUCAUUUGAGAGGAGCUGACCACAGGCCAGCAAGACCCCCAAAGUCCAAGCUCAUCAUGGCAAACCAUGAGAGUUGAGGUGUUCAUGAUACUCAAACAGGCAUGCCCUUCGGAAUAGCCAAAGGGCGCAAGGUGCGUUCAAAGAUUCGAUGAUUCACUGAAUUCUGCAAUUCACAUUACUUAUCGCAUUUCGCUGCGUUCUUCAUCGAUGCGAGAGCCAAGAGAUCCGUUGCUGAAAGUUGUAUUGUAUUGCGUUAAACGCGGUAUACAUUCCAUAAGACUUUAUUACAGAGUGUGUGUAAAGAUAUAGAACCAUGGCAGGAGGACAGAGUCCCCCAAACCAUAGAACUACAUAAGGGUGCACAGGUGUGAGUGGAUGUGUAAACAGAGCGUGCACAUGCCCCCGUUUGAGGACCAGCAACAACUCGUGUCGACAGUUCAGUAAUGAUCCUUCC